rnacentral:lncRNA from 1 species
AUGAGGAUGGUGACAGUGAUAAUGACGAUGAUGCCAUGGUGAUUGCCGUCGAGAAGUUCACAGUCUAGUGGAGAAGGUACUCAAGUAAACAGAUGAUCCUAAUACAGCAUGGUGUGAAUAAUGCCUGAAGUCAGAGCAGGACCAGGGGGAGGAGGACUCAAGACAGCCCCGGGGCAGGGGUGUGGCUGGGGACCACGGCAUUCCGUCAACACUCAGACACCCAGUGUUUAUGGCACCGGGUGACUUACAAUGGCCGCUUGUCUAUGGGUCUGGGUAAACAGGAACAGAGUUAGGUUCAGACAACUGCUACCUUCAUCAUUUCGUUUUCCUUGCGCUGCAGAGGACCAGGAUCUCUAGCAGCUUUGAAAAAUGUCCCCUUGGAGGCUACUGAGGAGUAUUUCGGAUUUGUAUCCAGUUAUCAGAGAUCCCAUUGUAAUAUAAAGGGGCAGGCAGGAUGGAAAGAUAAAGAAUUACGGUCGCCUAGGAAACGGAACACUACAUUUCCUGUCUCAAGGCUGAAGUUCCGUGCUCGCUGCAGAAUGUUUUUUGGGAAGAGUCUAAAACCAGGGUUCUUUUGGGUUACUGGGGACGCUGGCUCAGGACACCGGCAAGAGGCCCUUUGUUGACCUUAUGUGAAUGGCUUCCCCUGGCUCCGGUCACCUGAAGACAUGGCAUCCUGGUUCCUGGUCAUCUGGGAACAUGGCUAUUCUCAGCUGCCCAUAAAAGCAGAGUAAAUGUUCCAUCAUUGGCCAGUUGUCAAGCGGUGGCCACCGGGACCUCACCUCUGUGGGACCUCACCGCAGUGGAAGCGAUAAAGAGCCCUCGCUCUGGGGGCCAGCAACUUGGGUUUGAAUCCCGGUCCCAUCACCUAUUACCGAUACAACUUCAGGCGAGUUUCUUAACAUUCCAGAACUUUUCUCAGGUGGGGAAUAGCACAUCAGGGCCCACCUUUGGCGGGCUGGCGUGUGCCAGCUAUUCACACGCAGCCACGCUCUUCUUCCCAGCCCAGCCUCCCUUGCCCUUGGGCCUGCUGUGUGAUUGAAUUCCUCAGUAAAUGGGAUGUGAGGGGAAGGGAUGUGCACCGAUCCAGGCCUGGCCCAGCAAAACUUCCCCGGUGAUCCUCUGGCUUCCCCACUGGCUGGCUGAGGGUGUCUGACAGGAACUUAAGGCCCCGUGGGAUGACGGAGCCACCGAGUGGAAGGAGCCUGGGUCCCUGGAUCACCAUGUGGAAGGCCAGAUACCUGCACUGAACUGUUAUUUGAGUGAAAAAAAGCUUUCAUUGUGUUGAGAUCCUGAGACUCUGGGUUGGGUUUCUACAGCAGUUAGUUUACUUCAUAAAGUCGUCGCAAGAAUUAAACGAAUUAACAUAUGCAAAGUGCCCAACACAGUGCCUGGGACGUAUAUACAUGAGCUAUAUACGUAAUUGCUAUUAGCAUGAUAUUUGGA